GGAUGUGAGGACGAUCUGGCUGAGAUACCUGUCACCUUUUCAACCACCAGGUUUGGUUUGGUUGACUGUCUGGCUAGGCAGGCGUCACCUUCUUCCCCUCCUUUCCCUACAUGCCCCUCUGAAGCUGUAUGCUAAGUCAAAGUGGACACACGACCCUUUCCAGAGGAGGACCGUUUCCUUGGUCAAGGGUGUGUAAGUAGCUGCUCUUCCCCACUAGAGCCUCCAGACAAGCUCUGU
rnacentral:sRNA from 1 species